rnacentral:rRNA from 2 species
GGACUACUAGGGUUUCUAAUCCUGUUUGCUCCCCUAGCUUUCGUGCCUCAGUGUCAGGAGUCGUCCAGGGACUCGCCUUCGCCACUGGUGUUCCUCUCGAUAUCUACGCAUUUCACUGCUACACCGAGAAUUCCAGUCCCCCCUCCGACCCUCGAUCAGGGUAGUUUCCAAUGCAGUUUCGGAGUUGAGCUCCGAGAUUUCACAUCCGACUUACCCCGCCACCUACGCACCCUUUACGCCCAGUGAAUCCGAACAACGCUUGGGACCUCUGUAUUACCGCGGCUGCUGGCAC